GAUGAACGCUGGCGGCGUGCUUAACACAUGCAAGUCGAACGAGAAAUGUAGACGGACACCUUCGGGCGGAAGCCUUCAUUUCGAGUGGCGGACGGGUGAGUAACGCGUGGGUAACCUGCCUCAUACAGGGGGAUAACAGUUGGAAACGACUGUUAAUACCGCAUAAGACCACAGCAUCGCAUGAUGCGGGGGUAAAAACUCCGGUGGUAUGAGAUGGACCCGCGUUCGAUUAGCCAGUUGGCGGGGUAACGGCCCACCAAAGCGACGAUCGAUAGCCGAUCUGAGAGGAUGACCGGCCACAUUGGGACUGAGACACGGCCCAAACUCCUACGGGAGGCAGCAGUGGGGAAUAUUGCACAAUGGGGGAAACCCUGAUGCAGCGACGCCGCGUGAGUGAAGAUGUACUUCGGUAUGUAAAGCUCUAUCAGCAGGGAAGAAAAUGACGGUACCUGAGUAAGAAGCCCCGGCUAACUACGUG
rnacentral:rRNA from 1 species